rnacentral:rRNA from 1 species
UUCCGGUUGAUCCUGCCGGACCUGACUGCUAUCGGAUUGAUACUAAGCCAUGCGAGUCUUUGCAGUAAUGCAAGGCAUACGGCUCAGUAACACGUAGUCAACUUACCCUAUGGACGAGGAUAAUCUCGGGAAACUGAGCAUAAUACUCGAUAGAUCAUAAUGCCUGGAAUGGUUUAUGGUUAAAAUGAUUCGUCGCCAUAGGAUAGGACCGCGGCCUAUCAGCUUGUUGGUGAGGUAAUGGCCCACCAAGGCGAUUACAGGUACGGGCUCUGAGAGGAGAAGCCCGGAGAUGGGUACUGAGACAAGGACCCAGGCCCUAUGGGGCGCAGCAGGCGAGAAAACUUUGCAAUGUGCGAAAGCACGACAAGGUUAAUCCGAGUGAUUUCUGCUAAAGAAAUCUUUUGUAAGUCAUAACACCACUAGUGAAUAAGGGGUGGGCAAGUUCUGGUGUCAGCCGCCGCGGUAAAACCAGCACCUCAAGUGGUCAGGAGGAUUAUUGGGCCUAAAGCAUCCGUAGCCGGCUCUGUAAGUUUUCGGUUAAAUCUAUGUGCUCAACGCAUAGGCUGCCGAAAAUACUGCAUAGCUAGGGAGUGGGAGAGGUAGACGGUACUCGGUAGGAAGGGGUAAAAUCCUUUGAUCUAUCGAUGACCACCUGUGGCGAAGGUGGUCUACCAGAACACGUUCGACGGUGAGGGAUGAAAGCUGGGGGAGCAAACCGGAUUAGAUACCCGGGUAGUCCCAGCUGUAAACGAUGCAGACUCGAUGAUGCAUUGGCAUAUAGCCAGUGCAGUGUCGCAGGGAAGCCGUUAAGUCUGCCGCCUGGGAAGUACGUACGCAAGUAUGAAACUUAAAGGAAUUGGCGGGGGAGCACCACAAGGGGUGAAGCCUGCGGUUCAAUUGGAUUCAACGCCGG